GCUUACGGCCAUACCAGCCUGGGUACGCCCGAUCUCGUCUGAUCUCGGAAGCUAAGCAGGGUCGGGCCUGGUUAGUACUUGGAUGGGAGACCGCCUGGGAAUACCAGGUGCUGUAACCA
rnacentral:rRNA from 1 species